UGUUUGCAGAUGUUAGGUCAAAAAGCCAUUCUUCCAUAGCUCUCUUCAUAGGGCUGGAAGUCUUUUUCGCAACCACAGCUAUCACCAUCUGGUGGCCUUCAUAUGAAGGUUUAUGGCACUUUCACAUUGGUUUUCGUGAUUCAUCCCCUGCUGGCCAUGAAAGAAAAGAACUCUCUCUCUCUGCAGACCAGGCUUUAAUUGUGUGAUUGAGAAAGUGUAGCAUCACUCCAUUAAAGCCAGUCUGCCUCAAAUGGCUGCUCUCCGGCUGACACCAGAGGGACCUCUUAUAGCCUGCUGUGGUCACCGUGCUGUGUCCCCUCCAAAGACGCUGAUGCAAACCUGAUCCUCAUUUAGAUGGCAGACAAGGCUUUUGAACACAGAACAGCCUGUAGUCUCUGUGGACUGCUGCAGCACUGCAAAAGGACCUAAAUGAAGGCACCAGACAAUGUAACAACCGUGAGAUCCCGGCACUCGCAGACAGGCCAGAGAAGUCUAAUAAACACACACACAAUCACUGUCAUUAACACGACUGUGAGUUCAAAUCUUCUUUGUCCUCACAGGACACGUUUAAAUUUCUCGUAUCGGGGAAGAAUCCGAUUUUCUGUUUCUGUGCAGGAUCGCAUCUAUACAGCAGCUCUGCGUUGUUGAAUCAGAUUGAAGUAAACCACCUUAUUGAAUUUUUUUUUCUUUUUUUGCUGUUACUCUGUCCCUGUAGAACCAGAUGAUGAUAUUUGGGGUUAAGUGCAUUUCUACAAAAAAAGGCUUUAUGUUCAUGGAAAUUAUAUUAGAAGUCAGAGGUGUGGUAGUUGCUUUUUAAGUUAAAAAUUUUAAAAGUCACUGUAUCGUCUUGGGACAGUCACAGCUGUCACAUAUCGUGGCUUUACUGGAGCGGUGUGCGAAGAAAAGAGGAUGGACGCAUGUUAACACACAGCGUUUAUCGCACAAAUAUACAAGUAUGCAACAAAAUAAUAUAAGUCCUUUUGUUCAGUUUAGGCAGUUGAAAUAUUUCAUAAAUGACUCUUCUCAUGAGUGAAAACAUUUUUGGCAAACUUGCAGGACAUGAGAUUUGCAUUUAGGCUCUACUCCCCCUUCACACACGAGGGAUUAGUUUGGCAGAGGCAGCAGGUUGAAGCAGUGCUGUGGCAUUUUGCUGGAGGUGAGACUUGUGUCCAGGCAGACACUGCUCUGACCCUCUCAGUAUUCCCUACUCCUCCUCUGUCAAAUGUGAGUAUUGACAGCCCAGAGGGAUUAGACUCCUCACACAUGCUUCACAGAGCUCCAAAGCGGUUCACUUCUAAUAUUUAAACGAUGACCAGAUGUGUAAAUUUGAACUGUGAUCAAUGGGGGCAACACAAUCCUAUUUUGCUCAUUGCUUUGCAUUGCUACAGUAUUUCCCCACUUUAUCACCCUCUCUUCCACCCCCUUUCUCUUCCUCUCUGUCUCUCUGUCUCUGCUCUGCACCAGCCAGCACAGACUCAUUUAAGUCUGCUGAUGUCUUGAUAAUGUUCCAAAGCCUUCACAUGCAGGUAGAGAAGGAAUUCCUCAGCUCCCUGAUCAGGACAUUAUUAGAUUUAUAGACAGUGUUACUUUAUAAUAGCAACACUGACGUGUAU